rnacentral:rRNA from 1 species
GAUGAACGCUGGCGGCGUGCCUAAUACAUGCAAGUCGAGCGAACGGACGAGAAGCUUGCUUUUCUGAUGUUAGCGGCGGACGGGUGAGUAACACGUGGAUAACCUACCUAUAAGACUGGGAUAACUUCGGGAAACCGGAGCUAAUACCGGAUAAUAUUUUGAACCGCAUGGUUCAAAAGUGAAAGACGGUCUUGCUGUCACUUAUAGAUGGAUCCGCGCUGCAUUAGCUAGUUGGUAAGGUAACGGCUUACCAAGGCAACGAUGCAUAGCCGACCUGAGAGGGUGAUCGGCCACACUGGAACUGAGACACGGUCCAGACUCCUACGGGAGGCAGCAGUAGGGAAUCUUCCGCAAUGGGCGAAAGCCUGACGGAGCAACGCCGCGUGAGUGAUGAAGGUCUUCGGAUCGUAAAACUCUGUUAUUAGGGAACAACAUAUGUGUAAGUAACUGUGCACAUCUUGACGGUACCUAAUCAGAAAGCCACGGCUAACUACGUG